ACGGGGAGCAGCAGGCGCGAAACCCUUACACUGCACGCCAGUGCGAUAAGGGAAUCCCAAGUGCGCAGGCAUAGAGCCUGCGCUUUUGUACACCGUAGGGAGGUGUACGAAUAAGGGCUGGGCAAGACCGGUGCCAGCCGCCGCGGUAAUACCGGCAGCCCGAGUGAUGGCCGAUCUUAUUGGGCCUAAAGCGUCCGUAGCUGGCCGCACAAGUCCAUCGGAAAAUCCACCCGCCCAACGGGUGGGCGUCCGGUGGAAACUGUGUGGCUUGGGACCGGAAGGCGCGACGGGUACGUCCGGGGUAGGAGUGAAAUCCCGUAAUCCUGGACGGACCGCCGAUGGCGAAAGCACGUCGCGAGGACGGAUCCGACAGCGAGGGACGAAAGCCAGGGUCUCGAACCGGAUUAGAUACCCGGGUAGUCCUGGCCGUAAACAAUGUCUGUUAGGUGUGGCUCCCACUACGAGUGGGUGCUGUGCCGUAGGGAAGCCGCUAAACAGACCGCCUGGGAAGUACGUCCGCAAGGAUGAAACUUAAAGGAAUUGGCGGGGGAGCAC
rnacentral:rRNA from 1 species